rnacentral:rRNA from 1 species
UAGUCCACGCCGUAAACGAUGGAUACUAGCUGUUCGUCUAACAUUGGCUAGAUGAGUGGCUAAGCGAAAGUGAUGAGUAUCCCACCUGGGGAGUACGGUCGCAAGACUGAAACUCAAAGGAAUUGACGGGGGCCCGCACAAGCGGUGGAGCAUGUGGUUUAAUUCGAUGAUACGCGAGGAACCUUACCAGGGCUUAAAUGUAGUGGGACAGGUCUAGAGAUAGACCCUUCUUCGGACUCAUUACAAGGUGCUGCAUGGUUGUCGUCAGCUCGUGCCGUGAGGUGUCAGGUUAAGUCCUAUAACGAGCGCAACCCCUAUCGUUAGUUGCCAGCGAGUAAUGUCGGGAACUCUAACGAAACUGCCAGUGCAAACUGUGAGGAAGGUGGGGGAUGACGUCAAAUCAUCACGGCCCUUACGUCCUGGGGCUACACACGUGCUACAAUGGUAGAGACAGAGGGGCAGCCACCUGGGUGACAGGGGAGCGGAAUCCUU